UUUAAAUUGGUCUGAAAUGAUUGUAAUUUUAAAAAAAAAUAAGAAAUAACUAAUAGUGAUAACAAAGUUGUUUCAAGCAUAAACAGCAUCGCUAUCUUCAUUUUUCUGUUGAUGGAAGCCAUAUGUCCAGCUAAAAAAGUCACUUACAAGUAUUAUUUUGCAGAGUAAGUUUUCAUGACAAUAAUAAAAGGUGUCGCUAGCUACUAACUGCAUUUUUUUAAAAAAAACUUUAUUGCAACUACGAUUUAAAUAAAAACAAGGGAAACAGCCUGUUGUACCAUGUCCAGCUAAAAAUAUCACUUACCAAUUUUAUUUUGCGGAGCAAGUUUUCAAGACAGUAAUAAAAGGUGUCGCUACCUCACGGGUGGUUCGAAGCGGAAUCUAAGAGUUAGCGCAUGCGCGGGUUUUUAACGACAUCCGUGGAGGAAUAAUGGCGGCCGGCAUCAAACUACGUAGUCAAAACAAACCAAGAGCAAGUUUAAAUCUAUUGUUAUCCUCCCAUCUAAUAUUCCAAUAGAUCUAAUUUAGCCGUAAACGAACAUGUGAUAAGUCAACGAAGAGGGCUCAGCGAAACAUUUUUGUUGUAGUGGAGCUAGGUACGAGGAACAAGACUACUCAAGUAGAUGAAAGAAAAAAUCAAGAUUUUUGCUUAUUUGCGUUACGUUGCUAACGUCAAGCUGCUGGCUUCAAGUCUUGAGCUUCUGGAUUUGUUGUCAAAAGGUGCUGUUUCAUAAUGUAUUUGAGCCUGUCAACUGGGUUUUUGAUGUUUGAAUAAUUUAUUCUCAUACGAUGCAAAUCGUGGUGAAUAGAUUCUCCACCUUGUUCACCAUAAAAACCUAAGCCCGUUCUCCACUUGUUUACAAAAUCCAAUACAUGGUCUUCUAGUAUGUGCAGCUUUGGACUGAUGUAUAUUGAAGGCCAAUUAACUCUUAAAUAACACAUGAACUGAUUGAUAGAUGUCUCUAAAAGUUGGUUAAACAAAUUUUAUAAAUUGACUUUUCUACUUUUAAGCAUUUCAUAAAAAUCAAACUUGCAUAUUUUACCUAAAUUUGAUAACAUUUCUUGGGUCAUAAUACAUGAAGAAUUGAAUAUUGAGUGACACGAACCAUACAGCUUGAACAGUUGUUCAAACUUCUUGCAUGUUUCUUGACACUCCAGAUAUAAAACUUGAUCAUCACAUUGAUUCUGUACAAUUUCAGGAAUACGAUCACAUAAAUACUUUAUGUUGCCAUCCUAUAAUAUUGUCUACUGUUUGUUGUAAACCAAUUUGUGAAAUUAUACUUAUGCAUAAUACAAUUUCAUAUUUUUCGUUUACUUUAUCUUGUUUCAAUACAAAUUGUAUAGCAUUGUAUUGAAACAAGAUAAAGUAAACGAAAAUUUUUAUAAAUUGCAAAAAUAAAUCUAACCUUGAGCAUUUUAUGACAAUGGUUGCCAAUAAAGCUUUUUCCGUGGUACGCCUGCCUCUCAACACCAAGCUCCUGCAGUGUAUCGUCUAGGGAUGAUACGCAAGGACCAGAUCCAAUUUCCAAUUGGUACUUUUCUUUGAAUGCUUUUAUGCUUCUAUGUUUCUCCUUCAGUUCAAAUUCUAAGUUAUCCAACUCUGGUUUGUAGUUUUUUUCAAACUCAUCCUUGGUAAUUUGUUUAGAUAUAACCAUCCAGUUCAUAUGUUCCUGCUGGUUAUCAUACUCGUCCUCCAAUUCUUUUGACUCAUUUUGUAAAUUGCUAAAUAUAUACAUAUAUAUAUACAUAUAUAUAUAUAGAUAUGUUAUAAAGAAAUGCAGCCCAAGAUAUGAUUGGAAGUAGUAAUAAUAAUAAAAAUCUAGUAAGGUGUACAUACAUUAAAAUUCUCAUAUUUGCCAUAAACUCUGCAAAUUUAAUAUUAAUUUCACCAUCAGUAGUUUGAGCAUGAAUUGUGGCAAUUCUUAAAUCAACUUCUUGACAGUAGCUUUCCAAGUUGUUGAACAUUUUUAAAUAUAUCCCAAGUGUUAGGUGGAGCCCUGGUAUAGCCACCUAUAUAAAAAGUAAUAAAAAAUAGGUUUGCUGAAUUUUCAUAACAUUGCACGAAGUACAUUAUACUUACUUGUUCUAGGGGGAUGUUAAAGAAGCAAUCAUGUAUCACAUUUUGAUAGUGUUUGGCGUUUUU